CCAAAGGCUCUUUUCAGAGCCACCCACUCAUUCAAUGAAAGAGCUU
rfam:Meleagris gallopavo isolate NT-WF06-2002-E0010 breed Aviagen turkey brand Nicholas breeding stock chromosome 1, whole genome shotgun sequence.